rnacentral:rRNA from 1 species
AUUGAACGCUGGCGGAAUGCUUUACACAUGCAAGUCGAACGGCAGCACGGGAGCUUGCUCCUGGUGGCGAGUGGCGAACGGGUGAGUAAUGCGUCGGAACGUACCGAGUAAUGGGGGAUAACGCAGCGAAAGCUGUGCUAAUACCGCAUACGCCCUGAGGGGGAAAGUGGGGGAUCGCAAGACCUCACGUUAUUCGAGCGGCCGACGUCUGAUUAGCUAGUUGGUGGGGUAAAGGCCUACCAAGGCGACGAUCAGUAGCGGGUCUGAGAGGAUGAUCCGCCACACUGGAACUGAGACACGGUCCAGACUCCUACGGGAGGCAGCAGUGGGGAAUUUUGGACAAUGGGGGCAACCCUGAUCCAGCCAUUCCGCGUGAGUGAAGAAGGCCUUCGGGUUGUAAAGCU